rnacentral:rRNA from 1 species
ACUCAAAUGAAUUGACGGGGACUUGCACAAGCGGUGGAACAUGUGGUUCAAUUCGACGCUAAACGAAGAACCUUACCAGGGUUAGAAAUCCAGACGAAUACCAGCAGAAACGUUGGUAGCCGAAAGGCGGCUGGACAGGUGCUGCAUGGCUGUCGUCAGUUCGUGGUUUGAACUGUUCCCUUCAGUGGGGUAACGAACGCAACCCCUGUUGCCUGUUAUAAGUGUCAGGCGAGACUGCCCCCGCAAGUGUGCGCAAAUAUUUGUGCUUACUUGUGGGGGAGGAAGGUGGGGAUGACGCCAAGUCAGCAUGGCCCUCUGACACCCUGGGCUACACACGUGUUACAAUCGCAUCUACAACGGGACGCAAUAUCGUAAGAUGGAGCAAACCCUUAUAAAGGAUGCGCCAGUUCGGAUAGAGGUCUGCAACUCGACCUCUUGAAGCCGGAAUCGCUAGUAAUCGCAGGUCAGCUAUACUGCGGUGAAUACGUUCUCAAGUCUUGUACACACCGCCCGU